rnacentral:tRNA from 1 species
AGAGAGGUGUCCGAGUGGUCGAAGGAGCACGCCUGGAAAGUGUGUAAACGCCAAAAGCGUUUCGAGGGUUCGAAUCCCUUCCUCUCUGCAA